CUUUAACUCCCUCAGUGUUUUGCAAAGCCCUGAUUCUUCCUGCCAUGGGUUCCAACAAUAAAAUAUAAAGCAUUGGUACCAACGGGCACCACGGCCAUAUUCCAAUCAGAAUUAAACGCCUGACCCACUAUUUUAGCAGUUGGAAUAGUAUAUAAAGCCAUGACCGAGUUGACUAACCCACUCCCCAAGUUGAAAGCUUUAAGCACUUCUUCAAGGAGGUUCCUUUAAAUGCAGUUCU